UGCGGCGUGGAGCAGCUUGGUAGCUCGUUGGGCUCAUAACCCAAAGGUCGGGGGUUCAAAUCCCUCCGCCGCCUCCA
rnacentral:tRNA from 1 species